GGCCAGUGAUGUGAGUAAAUAUUUGCUACUCUUGAUGGGUUUCCACCCAUUUGAUGAUUACAUUCCACCAAGAUCUCUGAGGCC
rnacentral:snoRNA from 1 species